AUGCGCCGCCGCGUCCUCCUCCGCCUCAGGCCGCCGGCGCGGCGACGCCUCUGCGCGGCGCUCUCGACCGCGGCCUCAACGACGGCCGCCGCGCCCAGCGCGUACCGCCUGCUGGCGCUCCUCCGCGGCUGCGUCGCGCCGCCGCACCUCCCGCUGGGCCUCCGCAUCCACGCCCGCGCCGUCACCUCCGGCCUCCUCGCGGCCGCCGACGGGCCGGAGGGCGCCCUCCAGACGCGGCUCAUCGGCAUGUACGUCCUGGCGCGUCGCUUCCGGGACGCCGUCGCGGUCUUCUCCUCGCUCCCGCGCGCCGCCGCCGCGUCGGCGCUCCCCUGGAACUGGCUCAUCCGCGGGCUCACCAUGGCCGGACACCACCGCUUCGCCGUGCUCUUCUACGUCAAGAUGUGGGCCCACUCGUCGGCGCCGCGGCCCGACGGCCACACCCUCCCCUACGUCGUCAAGUCGUGCGCCGCGCUCGGCGCGCUCGCCCUCGGCCGCCUCGUGCAUCGCACCGCCCGGGCGCUCGGGCUAGACCGCGACAUGUACGUCGGGAGCGCGCUCAUCAAGAUGUACGCGGACGCCGGCCUCCUCGGGGGCGCGCGCGAGGUGUUCGACGGAAUGGCCGAGCGGGACUGCGUCCUGUGGAACGUGAUGAUGGACGGGUACGUCAAGGGCGGCGACGUGGCCAGCGCAGUGGGGCUGUUCGGAGCCAUGAGGGCGUCCCGCUGCGACCCCAACUUCGCGACCCUGGCGUGCUUUCUGUCUGUGUGCGCCACGGAGGCUGACUUGCUCUCCGGGUUGCAGCUGCACACCCUGGCGGUGAAGUAUGGGUUAGAGCCGGAGGUCGCCGUGGCCAACACGUUGGUGUCAAUGUAUGCCAAAUGCCAGUGUUUGGAUGAUGCGUGGAGGCUGUUUGACCUGAUGCCACGGGACGAUUUGGUAACCUGGAACGGGAUGAUAUCUGGGUGCGUUCAGAACGGGCUUGUCGAUGAUGCACUGAGAUUGUUCUGUGAUAUGCAGAAAAGUGGUCUUCAGCCUGAUUCAGUUACACUGGCGAGCUUGUUACCAGCUUUGACCGAUUUGAAUGGUUUCAAGCAGGGGAAGGAGAUACAUGGCUACAUUGUCAGGAACUGUGUGCAUUUGGAUGUCUUCUUGGUGAGUGCUUUGGUGGACAUAUAUUUCAAGUGCAGGGAUGUGAGGAUGGCACAGAAUGUCUUUGAUGCUACAAAGGCCAUCGAUGUGGUUAUUGGUGGCACAAUGAUCUCGGGUUAUGUUCUUAAUGGGAUGAGCGAAGCGGCAAUGAAAAUGUUUCGAUACCUCUUGGAAGUGGGCAUCAAACCAAAUGCUAUCAUGGUGGCUAGCACGUUGCCAGCAUGUGCUAGCAUGGCUGCUAUGAAGCUUGGUCAGGAGCUCCAUGGGUAUGUUCUGAAAAAUGCAUAUGAAGGAAGGUGUUAUGUGGAGAGUUCAUUAAUGGACAUGUAUGCGAAAUGCGGAAGACUUGACCUUAGCCAUUAUAUCUUCUCUAAGAUGUCUGCUAAGGAUGAGGUGACAUGGAACUCGAUGAUUUCAAGCUUUGCACAGAAUGGGGAACCUGAAGAAGCUCUUGAGCUGUUUCGUCAAAUGAGUAUGGAAGGAGUGAAGUACAGUAAUGUGACCAUAUCUUCCAUCCUAUCAGCAUGUGCAGGCUUACCAGCUAUAUAUUAUGGAAAGGAGAUCCAUGGUAUCAUCAUAAAGGGUCCCAUAAGAGCCGAUGUGUUUGCUGAGAGUGCUCUCAUAGAUAUGUAUGGCAAAUGUGGGAACUUAGAAUUGGCUUUUCGUGUUUUUGAAUUCAUGCCUGAGAGGAAUGAAGUGUCAUGGAAUAGUAUAAUCUCUGCCUAUGGGGCUCAUGGCCUUGUUGAAGAUUCGGUGAGUUUAUUAUGCCGCAUGCAAGAGGAAGGAUUCAACGCAGACCAUGUAACAUUCCUUGCUUUGAUAUCUGCUUGUGCUCACGCUGGGCAGGUUCAAGAAGGACUCCGACUUUUUAAAUGCAUGACUGAGGAAUAUCAGAUUGCACCUCGGGUGGAACACUUAGCUUGCAUGGUUGACUUAUAUAGCCGGGCUGGGAAGUUGGAUAAAGCCAUGCAAUUUAUUGCUGACAUGCCUUUCAAGCCGGAUGCUGGCAUUUGGGGUGCUCUUCUCCACGCUUGCCGUGUGCAUCGCAACGUUGAACUUGCAGAGAUUGCUUCUCAAGAACUAUUCAAGUUGGAUCCUCAAAAUUCAGGUUAUUAUGUGCUCAUGUCCAAUAUCAAUGCUGUUGCUGGACGGUGGGAUGGUGUGUCAAAAAUGAGAAGAUUGAUGAAGGAUAAGAAAGUUCAGAAGAUACCUGGUUACAGCUGGGUAGAUGUUAAUAACACCAGCCAUUUAUUUGUUGCAGCAGACAAAAGCCACCCUGACUCUGAAGAUAUUUACAUGUCUUUGAAGAGCCUUCUUCUAGAAUUAAAACAUGAAGGUUACGUUCCCAGGCCGGACAUAUGUUAUACCAUGCAACCAGACAACACCACCCAGGUUCAGCAA
rnacentral:rRNA from 1 species